CCGCACAUAUCAUUGACUUUGCUUUCCUUGUGGAGCAAGGUUAUUUCUGGUGUGCCAGAGCAAUCUGAAGGCUAAUUAGCAGUGUAACUCCUCCACCCUAGUUACUGCUGCCAGUCUCCUUCAAACAUUU